rnacentral:rRNA from 1 species
UUUAUUGGAGAGUUUGAUCCUGGCUCAGGACGAACGCUGGCGGCAUGCCUAAUACAUGCAAGUCGAGCGGAGUUGAUAGGAAGCUUGCUUCCUUGAUACUUAGCGGCGGACGGGUGAGUAACACGUAGGCAACCUGCCCUCAAGCUUGGGACAACUACCGGAAACGGUAGCUAAUACCGAAUACUUGCUUUCUUCGCCUGAAGGGAGCUGGAAAGACGGAGCAAUCUGUCACUUGAGGAUGGGCCUGCGGCGCAUUAGCUAGUUGGUGAGGUAACGGCUCACCAAGGCGACGAUGCGUAGCCGACCUGAGAGGGUGAUCGGCCACACUGGGA